CAAUGAAAAAAGCAUGGUAAUGUGCACAUAAAUUGAAUUGGGUCUCUAGGCAUCCCCUCUAAUGCCAUUAGGCUUUGAUUCGGGAGCAUGAUUCCGCAGCAAAACA